ACGAACGCUGGCGGCGUGCUUAACACAUGCAAGUCGAACGGAAAGGCCCUGCUUUUGUGGGGUGCUCGAGUGGCGAACGGGUGAGUAACACGUGAGUAACCUGCCCUUGACUUUGGGAUAACUUCAGGAAACUGGGGCUAAUACCGGAUAGGAGCUCCUGCUGCAUGGUGGGGGUUGGAAAGUUUCGGCGGUUGGGGAUGGACUCGCGGCUUAUCAGCUUGUUGGUGGGGUAGUGGCUUACCAAGGCUUUGACGGGUAGCCGGCCUGAGAGGGUGACCGGCCGCAGAGGGAGUGGGAGACGGCCAGGCUGCUACGGGAGGCAGCAGCGGGGAAUGUUGGACAAUGGGCGGAAGCCUGAUGCAGCAACGCCGCGUGCGGGAUGACGGCGUUCGGGUUGUAAAACGCUUUCGCCUGUGACGAAGCGUGAGUGACGGUAAUGGGUAAAGAAGCACCGGCUAACUACGUG
rnacentral:rRNA from 1 species